GGACAGUGACAGUUAAGAAGUGUUUCACUGAGUGUGCACAACUUUCUUCUGCAGAAAAGACAUGGGGAAGGGAGGAAAAGAAGGCAGGGGUCCGUCCAUCUUCACUUUUGUCCUAUGGUCCAGUCCAGCAAUGGUAGUUACCUGCUCCCUAGGUAAAGGAUACAGCUGUCACCACUGCAGGUCUGAAUGCAGCCAUUUGUCUUCAGAUUAAGAAAGAUCACAUGAAGGAUAAUGCCAAGAAUAGUUCUAGUGAAGCAGAAGGAAAUUCAACAAAACUGCUCCAAGCAAAGAAGUCAAUGGAGCUGCAGAUAGGAAAGAUAAUCAAGAAAAAGACUGGAAAACAGAGAAGAAUAAGAAAAUAGGAGAGAAACAAGAACUGUUGAUUUGAGAGAAGGAAAGACAUCUACAGUAUGUAAACAUAGGAGCUCCUUUCAUUAAUCAAAAGGAUGGUUCAGAAGGUCAGCUUCUACACUGAAAUAGAAAAGUGUGGUGAUAACUUCGUAUAUCAAAACUCCUCAACUUUUAUUUGUUUAUUUAAAAUAUUUCUAUUUAU